GUGGGGAAUUUUGGACAAUGGGGGCAACCCUGAUCCAGCCAUUCCGCGUGAGUGAAGAAGGCCUUCGGGUUGUAAAGCUCUUUCGUCAGGAACGAAACGGCGGGCUCUAACAUAGCCUGUUAAUGACGGUACCUGAAGAAGAAGCACCGGCUAACUACGUGCCAGCAGCCGCGGUAAUACGUAGGGUGCGAGCGUUAAUCGGAAUUACUGGGCGUAAAGCGUGCGCAGGCGGAUUGUUAAGCAAGACGUGAGAUCCCCGGGCUUAACCUGGGAAUGGCGUUUUGAACUGGCAGUCUAGAGUGCGUCAGAGGGGGGUGGAAUUCCACGUGUAGCAGUGAAAUGCGUAGAGAUGUGGAGGAACACUGAUGGCGAAGGCAGCCCCCUGGGAUGACACUGACGCUCAUGUACGAAAGCGUGGGUAGCAAACAGGAUUAGAAACCCCGGUAGUCC
rnacentral:rRNA from 1 species